rnacentral:tRNA from 1 species
GCCCGGCUAGCUCUGUCGGUAGAGCAUGAGACUCUUAAUCUCAGGGUCGUGGGUUCGAGCGCCACGCUGGGCG